AGUGAACGCUGGCGGUAGGCCUAACACAUGCAAGUCGAACGGCAGCACAGUAAGAGCUUGCUCUUACGGGUGGCGAGUGGCGGACGGGUGAGGAAUACAUCGGAAUCUACUUUUUCGUGGGGGAUAACGUAGGGAAACUUACGCUAAUACCGCAUACGACCUACGGGUGAAAGCAUGGGAUCUUCGGACCUUGCGCGAUUGAAUGAGCCGAUGUCGGAUUAGCUAGUUGGCGGGGUAAAGGCCCACCAAGGCGACGAUCCGUAGCUGGUCUGAGAGGAUGAUCAGCAACACUGGAACUGAGACACGGUACAGACUCCUACGGGAGGCAGCAGUGGGGAAUAUUGGACAAAGGGAGCAAGCCUGAUCCAGCCAUACCGCGUGGGUGAAGAAGGCCUUCGGGUUGUAAAGCCCUUUUGUUGGGAAAGAAAAGCAGCAGGUUAAUACCCCGCUGUUCUGACGGUACCCAAAGAAUAAGCACCGGCUAACUUCGUG
rnacentral:rRNA from 1 species